AUGGAGGCUAAAGUUCUUAUCCUGAUCACCAUGGCCGUGGCCAUGCUCGGGAUGGUGCUCGGCGCCAGUCACACGGUGGGCGCGCCGGCCGGAUCAUGGGACCUGCAGACCAACUACACCCUGUGGGCUUCGAGAACUAGAUUUACCAUCGGCGAUGAGCUCCAGUUUCAGUACUCCACCACCGUGCACAAUGUGGUGGAGGUGAGAAAGGCUGGGUAUGACGCCUGCAACAGCUCCAGCCCCAUCGCGACGUUCCUGACCGGCAACGAUGUCGUCCCACUUGCGGCCAUUGGGACGCGGUACUUCAUUUGCGGCGUUCCAGGGCAUUGCAUCGCUGGUAUGAAGGUUCAAGUCAACGUGAAGUCGAAGGCAGUGCGGACAGUACAACGGUGCCGAGGGACGGGAAAGCGGCUCCGGUGCCGGUACGAGACUGUAUUAAGAUCGGCCACGGCGGCUGGCAUUGAUCAGUCUACGGUGGCGCGGCUAGGUCUGGCCAUUGUCGCGACUGGUCUCAUGUUGUUCUUUUAG
rnacentral:rRNA from 1 species